AUUCCUACGGGACGCAGCAGUGAGGAAUAUUGGUCAAUGGGCGCGAGCCUGAACCAGCCAAGUCGCGUGAGGGAUGACGGCCCUACGGGUUGUAAACCUCUUUUGUCGGGGAGCAAAUUCCGCCACGUGUGGCGGAGUCGAGAGUACCCGAAGAAAAAGCAUCGGCUAACUCCGUGCCAGCAGCCGCGGUAAUACGGAGGAUGCGAGCGUUAUCCGGAUUUAUUGGGUUUAAAGGGUGCGUAGGCGGGCUUUUAAGUCAGCGGUAAAAAUU
rnacentral:rRNA from 1 species